rnacentral:rRNA from 1 species
CCUACGGGGAGCAGCAGUCGAGAAUCAUUCACAAUGGGGGAAACCCUGAUGGUGCGACGCCGCGUGGGGGAAUGAAGGUCUUCGGAUUGUAAACCCCUGUCAUGUGGGAGCAAAUUAAAAAGAUAGUACCACAAGAGGAAGAGACGGCUAACUCUGUGCCAGCAGCCGCGGGAAUACAGAGGUCUCAAGCGUUGUUCGGAAUCACUGGGCGUAAAGCGUGCGUAGGCUGUUUCGUAAGUCGUGUGUGAAAGGCGCGGGCUCAACCCGCGGACGGCACAUGAUACUGCGAGACUAGAGUAAUGGAGGGGGAACCGGAAUUCUCGGUGUAGCAGUGAAAUGCGUAGAUAUCGAGAGGAACACUCGUGGCGAAGGCGGGUUCCUGGACAUUAACUGACGCUGAGGCACGAAGGCCAGGGGAGCGAAAGGGAUUAGAUACCCGUGUAGUC